GAUCCUGGCUCAGAAUCAACGCUGGCGGCGUGCCUUAACCCGUGCAAGUCGAACGCGAAAGGGGCUUCGGCCCUGAGUAGAGUGGCGUCCGGGUGAGUAACGCGUGGGUAAUCUGCCUCUGGGUGGGGAAUAACUCAGGGAAACUUGAGCUAAUACCGCAUAAUGCAGCGGCUCGACAUCGAGACAGUUGUUAAAGCAGAAAUGCGCCUAGAGAGGAGCCCGCGUCCGAUUAGCUAGUUGGGAGGGUAAUGGCCUACCAAGGCGACGAUCGGUAGCUGGUCUGAGAGGACGGCCAGCCACAAUGGCACUGAAACACGGGCCAUACUCCUACGGGAGGCAGCAG
rnacentral:rRNA from 1 species